rnacentral:rRNA from 1 species
GACGAACGCUGGCGGCGUGCCUAAUACAUGCAAGUCGAACGCUGAAGAGAGGAGCUUGCUCUUCUUGGAUGAGUUGCGAACGGGUGAGUAACGCGUAGGUAACCUGCCUGGUAGCGGGGGAUAACUAUUGGAAACGAUAGCUAAUACCGCAUAAAAUGGGUUAUCGCAUGAUAAUCCAUUGAAAGGUGCAAAUGCAUCACUACCAGAUGGACCUGCGUUGUAUUAGCUAGUUGGUGGGGUAACGGCUCACCAAGGCGACGAUACAUAGCCGACCUGAGAGGGUGAUCGGCCACACUGGGACUGAGACACGGCCCAGACUCCUACGGGAGGCAGCAGUAGGGAAUCUUCGGCAAUGGACGGAAGUCUGACCGAGCAACGCCGCGUGAGUGAAGAAGGUUUUCGGAUCGUAAAGCUCUGUUGUAAGAGAAGAACGAGUGUGAGAGUGGAAAGUUCACACUGUGACGGUAGCUUACCAGAAAGGGACGGCUAACUACGUG